CAACUACUCCCUCUGUCCCAAAUUUCUUGUCUUAGUUUGUCUAGAUACGGAUGUAUCUAAUACUAAAAUGUGACUUGAUACAUCCGUAUCUAAACAAAUCUAAGACAAGAAUUUUGGGACGGAAGGAGAACUUU
rfam:Triticum aestivum genome assembly, contig: Triticum_aestivum_CS42_TGACv1_scaffold_220979_3B